rnacentral:rRNA from 1 species
AGUCGAACGAAUCUUCGGGUUAGUGGCGCACGGGUGCGUAACACGUGGGAAUAUGCCCUUGAGUACGGAAUAACACACCGAAAGGUGUGCUAAUACCGUAUAAUGACUUCGGUCCAAAGAUUUAUCGCCAAAGGAUUGGCCCGCGCAUGAUUAGAUAUUUGGUGAGGUAAAAGCCUACCAAGCCGACGAUCAGUAGGGGGUCUGAGAGGAUGAUCCCCCACACUGGUACUGAGACACGGACCAGACUCCUACGGGAGGCAGCAGUGAGGAAUAUUGGACAAUGGGCGCAAGCCUGACGCAGCCAUGCCGCGUGAGUGAUGAAGGCCUUAGGGUUGUAAAGCUCUUUCAAUAGUGAAGAUAAUGACGGUAGCUAUAGAAGAAGCUCCGGCUAAAUUCGUGCCAGCAGCCGCGGUAAUACGAAUGGAGCAAGCGUUGUUCGGAAUCACUGGGCUUAAAGCGUGCGCAGGCGGACAUGAAAGUCAGAUGUGAAAUCCCAGGGCUCAACCCUGGAACUGCAUUUGAAACUUCUUUUCUAGAAUCCGGGAGGGGUCAGUAGAAUUACUAGUGUAGAGGUGAAAUUCGCAGAUAUUAGUAGGAAUACCAGUGGCGUAGGCGACUGACUGGACCGGUAUUGACGCUCAUGUACGAAAGCGUGGGGAGCAAACAGGAUUAGAUACCCUGGUAGUCCACGCCGUAAACGAUGUAUGCUAGCUGUCGGGGCCUUAGGCUUCGGUGGCGCAGAGAAAUCAUUAAGCAUACCGCCUGGGGAGUACGGUCGCAAGACUAAAACUCAAAGGAAUUGACGGGGACCCGCACAAGCGGUGGAGCAUGUUGUUUAAUUCGAAGCAACGCGAAGAACCUUACCCACACUUGACAUCCCGAUCGCGGUUACCAGAGAUGGUUUCCUUCAGUUCGGCUGGAUCGGUGACAGGUGCUGCAUAGCUGUCGUCAGCUCGUGUCGUGAGAUGUUGGGUUAAGUCCCGCAACGAGCGCAACCCUUAUCGUCUGUUGCCAUCAGGUCGGGUGGGAACUCAUGCGAGACUGCCGGUGUUAAGCCGGAGGAAGGUGGGGACGACGUCAAGUCAUCAUGGCCCUUACGUGUAGGGCUACAAACGUGCUACAAUGGCUACUACAGUGGGCAGCAAGGUCGCGAGGCCAAGCUAAUCUCCAAAAGUAGUCUCAGUUCGGAUUGUUCUCUGCAACUCGAGAACAUGAAGUCGGAAUCGCUAGUAAUCGUGGAUCAGCAUGCCACGGUGAAUACGUUCCCGGGUCUUGUACACACCGCCCGUCACAUCAUGGGAGUUGAUUCUA